GCUUGUGUUCUGAGGGGCUACUGGCUGACAGCGUCCGGUAAUUUCUGAGAGAUUAAACUCAGAUGAAGCAUAACUUUGUUUGAGCUGUUUAUUCCCGCUUCAAGUGCUUUGCUGUUGCGCGCGCUGAUUUUCUGAGAGAUUUACAUCUGACGAAGUGUUGUUUUGAGCCAUUUGUUCCCACUUCAGCGGCCUUCAUCAGAAAGUCUCCAAACACUGCAGCUGACUUCUGAUUCACUAUAUAUCACCGCAUUUCUCACCUCCAUUCCCAGACGACAGCAGGCCAAAUAUGCUUAUUCUCUCUAUUAUAUAUACACGUGACCUUGUGAAUUGCUGUAUAGUUCAGCUAACAAAAUAGCUGCCUGUUUUCAUUACAUUUGUGUUAUAAUGUUACGUUUCAUCAUACUAACUUGUGUUUAAACAAUGAAAACUGUAAAAUGUAUUUAGAGAUGUGUAUUAAUGUAAUGUAUUAAGUGUUUUAUUAUAUUUUUACAGGAUCCUCUGUUCCCAAACCCAACAAUUCAUCUGAAGGAUGAAGGAAAAUAUGAACCCUUUGAACCACUGGUGACAGUUUCCACAUGAUAAAUAGAAAGGACAUGGCAGAGGAUGAUGGGGUAUUGAUAUUUCACUGAAAUUAAAUAUAAUUUAAUUACAUUUAGUCUGCUAGUCAGAAUUAUAGCUGAUUAAAUAAAAAGAAAUAGUGGUUCAUGUUUGUUUUGGGAUAGUGUUUCAUGAGUCCUUUUGUCCUGAACAGUUUGAAUGGCCGC
ensembl:lncRNA